GCGUUAUGCUGUCGCCAUGGAAACGUGGGAUCAGCGCAAAUUCCCGCUCCAGCGCACACAUAUGCGCGCGCGUCCACACACAGAUUGAGUCACAAACACACACUGACUCACACUCUCUCCCUCCGUCACACACACACACAACAAACCUACACAUGACCCAAACGUAAAUCAUCAUUUAUCCACUUAACAUUACAUAAAUAAACUUGUGUGUGCAAUAUUAUGUGAGGUGACAACACAAACGACACCUGACCAACAUCUGCCAUCCCGAGCUGAAAAUCAGGUACAGGAGGCGCACGGAGGCCCUACGUGCUGUGUGUUGGCAGUGCUAAUGUCAUUAGAAGUCCACUAGAUGGCGAUUGAUCUCCAUUUACAUUGACAACAACAUGAAUGUCCCUUUCUUAUGUGGGUAAUGAACUCGACGUCUCACCCAUAGGCGUAUUUCCGCAUUGAAGAAAAAGGUGGAUACAUGUGCUGUUGUUUUGUACCAAGAGACUGGACGGAGUGUGAUUAUGAAUAAAAUGAAUGACUGUCCAUCGCCAAACAAUGCAGGACCUUAAAGCUUCAAUGUCAACCCUUUGUGUCUCACGUCGAAGGUGUGCAUCAUGGCUGUCUGGAUUUAGACCAAGCAAAUGUUUGAAGCAGAUUUGUUGAUGGAGUGUGAGAUCUGCUGCUACGUCUGGACUGACCGUAUGGAGGUCAGAAAUCAGAUGUGAUUUAGGCCUGUGAUGCCCCAUGCCAGGCCAGUUGUGAACGGCGAUACACCCAGCCUGUGGGAUUUUGGGUAAGCAUGUGGAGUGUUUGUGUUGGAGAGGAUGUUUAGGGAUUGGUAUAAACUCACACCCUAUAUGGCCCCUCCUCCACUGCAUCAUAGUGCCAACCUGACAGCUCGUGCA